AGCGAACGCUGGCGGCAGGCUUAACACAUGCAAGUCGAACGGGCGUAGCAAUACGUCAGUGGCAGACGGGUGAGUAACGCGUGGGAACGUACCCUUUUGGUUCGGAACAACCCAGGGAAACUUGGGCUAAUACCCGGGAUAAGCCCUUACGGGGAAAGAUUUAUCGCCGAAAGAUCGGCCCGCGUCUGAUUAGCUAGUUGGUGUGGUAACGGCGCACCAAGGCGACGAUCAGUAGCUGGUCUGAGAGGAUGAUCAGCCACAUUGGGACUGAGACACGGCUCAAACUCCUACGGGAGGCAGCAGU
rnacentral:rRNA from 1 species